rnacentral:rRNA from 1 species
AACAGGGAUUGCCCUAGUAACGGCGAGUGAAGCGGCAACAGCUCAAAUUUGAAAUCUGGCUCUUUUAGAGUCCGAGUUGUAAUUUGCAGAGGGCGCUUUGGCUUUGGCAGCGGUCCAAGUUCCUUGGAACAGGACGUCACAGAGGGUGAGAAUCCCGUACGUGGUCGCUGGCUAUUGCCGUGUAAAGCCCCUUCGACGAGUCGAGUUGUUUGGGAAUGCAGCUCUAAAUGGGAGGUACAUUUCUUCUAAAGCUAAAUAUUGGCCAGAGACCGAUAGCGCACAAGUAGAGUGAUCGAAAGAUGAAAAGCACUUUGGAAAGAGAGUCAAACAGCACGUGAAAUUGUUGAAAGGGAAGCGCUUGCAGCCAGACUUGCUUGCAGUUGCUCAUCCGGGCUUUUGCCCGGUGCACUCUUCUGCAGGCAGGCCAGCAUCAGUUUGGGCGGUAAGAUAAAGGUCUCUGUCACGUACCUCUCUUCGGGGAGGCCUUAUAGGGGAGACGACAUAUUACCAGCCUGGACUGAGGUCCGCGCAUCUGCUAGGAUGCUGGCGUAAUGGCUGUAAGCGGCCCGUCUUGAAACACGGACCAAGGAGUCUAACAUCUAUGCGAGUGUUUGGGUGUCAAGCCCGAGCGCGUAAUGAAAGUGAACGGAGGUAGGAACCCGCAAGGGUGCACUAUCGACCGAUCCUGAUGUCUUCGGAAGGAUUUGAGUAAGAGCAUGGCUGUUGGGACCCGAAAGAUGGUGAACUAUGCUUGAAUAGGGUGAAGCCAGAGGAAACUCUGGUGGAGGCUCGCAGCGGUUCUGACGUGCAAAUCGAUCGUCAAUUUGGGCAUAGGGGCGAAAGACUAA